AGAGCAGCAGGCGAUGCGCGAAAGGCGGGACUUGGAGAUAAAUACUGAGCACCCACAACAGGCAGCCAGCACCACUGCAGAUUGGAUACUGCAAUGAUGAUAAGCAUGGCCUGCCUUUAUGGAGGUUCUGGAUGUUCCUGUGGAUAACCUCAAGGAGCACGGGACCUGGGACAUGACUGCCCCCAGCAUUCCUUCUGGCGGCAGACAGAGUUUGUCAGUUCGCCAACAUCCUGCUUUCAUGAGAACAGUUUGCUGUUUGCUCACAGAGCCUCCAGUGGUAUACUGAGUUGGUCACGACCCUCAUUCCUUCGGCCUCCAACAUCUCCCCUUUUGUUUUUGCAUUAAUUGAAUAAAGGUAAUUUCAGGCUGUGCAGCUUUCAAUUGCCGGUUGGUGGUUCACCCGAUCCUAUAGACUAUGAGCAAAAAAACAGAGACAUAACAACAUUAUUCUUGUAAUUAUUAUAAAAGAGACAUUGAAGUUAUGUUUAAGAUGACGUCACUGAGGUAAGGGCGGGUUAAAGCCUGUCCUAUACCAAGCAAGUUGUGCAGCCAACUGGGGGACUGAAUCCCAGUGUGAUGUGAUGAAGAGGUGUUGAAGGUCCACCACCAGUGCCAGUGAAGUUUGUGCCAAGAGGUCUGAUUUUCAUCUCUCCCCUCUAAAUGGCCACGGGGACCCCAGUCAAUGUUUCCCAUUAACAUAGACUGUUGUCUGGCCAAGGGGCCAAGACACUGGGUCCAAGGAGGGGGGUGAGAAAUAUCAAAGGGAGCCCAUUCCAUAUAAUCCAUACAAUUUGAGUGAUGGGGCUAGGAGUGAUUGGUGAACACGCCAGUAACAUUAAUAAAGCUGAGGCCUAAUAAAUACAUAAUUUUUCCAUGGUGACUUAACCAUGCCUGAGAUUGGACUGCAAGACAGCUGCAGUUGAGUGACGUAUCCAUGGUGAUACAUAAAGGGAGUCCUUCCAAUGGGCCGGUGUAAUUGAUGCUAUUGCUCUGUGUCAGACGGAGUUAGGGGUCCUGGUGCCCACGCUCCCUGAUCAUAAUAUAUCUCAGGAGGAGUGUCGCUCCAGAGUACCAGUCGUACUACCAGUGGGUUAGGAACAUAUGCCCAAUAUGUUUUUGCCUCUACACAGGGGAAACAUACCGCACAGGACACUACAGCUAGCAUGGCCAAGAACAUGGAGUCAGGGGUUUUUGCCUGACCCUGGCGCUCCAGUAGUUUCUCAGCUUCUUGUGUCGUUUUCUUGAUCUGUCCCCAUGUUAUGGGGUUGGAUGUCAUUGUGACUCCGGUCGGCCCUUGUUCUGUCUUUGCAUUCAGAUUCCGCUGGCUCAUGGCUCGUACUGGAGGUAACAGGCCCACGGUUGAAUACCAUGGAUCCCUCCGGUCUCCCGUUCCAUGGUCACACACACCUGGAGGGCACCCACACGGUUUGUCCAUCUCCUGUAAAAACACAAGCAUACCCUCGUCCCCACGUCAGCAAAUCCACCGGACCUUUCCAUUGUCCUUCUUCUGGGGAUUUCCAUAACACUUUUGGAUAAACUUGCCUCUUUUCCUCUAGCAGUUGCCAGUGUCGUUCUGCUGGGGUCUUGCCAUCCGUACCAGGAGUCAAACAAUUUAAAGUAAACAAGGCUAAAUGUAAUUUUGUUUGAAGUGGUAAUUGGUCCCCUAUUCUCCCUUUUUGUUUUUUCAGCAUGCGUUGUAGUGUUUGAUGUACCCGCUCAAUAAUGCCUGGCCCUCAGGGAUUGUAUGGAAUUCCUGUUUUAUGAUUGAUUGCCCACAAUUGUAAAAAAUUGGGAAAGCAUGACUAACAUAAGCGAGUCCACUGUCAGUUUUAAAUUGUUUAGGGACCCCCAUAUGGGCAAAUGACGACAGACAGUAUCGUCAGACAUGACCAGCUGUUUCCCCAGUUUGGCAUGUGGCAUGUAACAUAUGGGAGUAAGUGUCUAUAUUACAUGAACAUAGCGGAGUUAGCCAAAGGCUGCUAUAUAUAUGUAACAUCCAUCUGCCAGAUUUCAUUUGGAGCCAAGCCUCGUGGGUUGCAUCCUUCCACAGGUGCAACACCAGGGACAUGCUGGCAAGUGGGGCAGGCUUGCACAAUAACUCAAGCCUGGCUGCGAGGCAGAUGAAACAUACGAGUAAGGGCAAGUUGUUCUGAUGCAGUAAAGCAUGGGAAGCUUGGGCUUGUUGAAAUAUAGAACUGAUGAAUUUAUCUGCUCUAUCAUUACCUAGAGAUAGUGGCCCCAGGAAGUUGUGUGUGAGAUCGGAUAUGAGAAAUAUGAAAAGGGGCAGCAUGAGAGCGAACAGCUUUUUGGAGUCUCAGAAAUAGGUUAAGCAGUUCUGGUUUUAAGGUGCUCUUGUGUGGGCGGCAAGCCAUCCAGGCGCCGAAGCAAGAGACAGAGGACACGGGCUGUUCCAGUAUAAUAAAAUAUAAAACAAGAAUAGUUAUACCAGAUAUAGAUCUUAGAUAUGAUUAUAUAUGAAUAUCAUUAAUCAUUAGUUUGUAGCAAUUACUUUUUAUUCCAAUAUUACAAUAAUCCUUGCUCUAUAAUCAUAGCCUAGGAAAAACCAGGCCAUACAGAGAUAGGAGCUGAGGGGACAUAGUGAGGUGUGACCAGAAGACAAGAGUGCGAGCCUUCUGUUAUGCCCAGACAGGGCCACCAGAGGGCUCCUUGGUCUAGUGGUGACGCCAGCGUUUGGGAAGACCGUGGUCUAGCGGUAGCGAAAAGUGUCAAGGAACAACACCCGCUACUUAGCAGACCGGGAAAGGGUGGGGGGCGGUCUCCCUUUCCCUGGGGGAGGUUAGAGAAGACUCUGCUCCUCCACCUCUUGUGGAGGGCCUGACAUUAGUCAGGCUCGCCCACAGUUAUCCGGAGGCCUAACCGUCUCCCUGUGAUUCUGUGCUUCAGUGGUCACGCUCCUAGUCCGCCUUCAUGUUCCAUCCUGUACACCUGGCUCUGCCUUCUAGAUAGCAGUAGUAAAUUAGUGAAAGUACUAAUAGUCCCUGAUAUGCAGAAAUAAUGGCGUAAGCUGUCUUUCUCUCUGUCUCCUCUCCCUCUCUGCCUCGGCUGCCAGGCAGGGAAGGGCCCCCUGACCAGUGGACACAUGACCCACGUGACCUUACCUAUCAUUGGAGAUGACUCACACUCUUUACCCUGCCCCUUUUGCUUUGUAUCCAAUAAAUAAGAGCGCAGCCAGACAUUCGGGGCCACUACCGGUCUCCGCGCAUUGGUGGUAGUGGU
ensembl:lncRNA novel transcript, antisense to ERVK3-1